rnacentral:rRNA from 1 species
GCGCGCUAUCAACGUGUAUUUCCUAGACCGAGAGGUCCGGGUAAACCACUGAACCGCUUUCAUGCUUGGGAUUGUGAACUGAAACUGUUCCCAUGAAC